AUACGGAGGGUGCAAGCGUUAAUCGGAAUUACUGGGCGUAAAGCGCGCGUAGGCGGAUGAUUAAGUCUCAUGUGAAAGCCCUGGGCUCAACCUGGGAACUGCAUGGGAUACUGGUCGUCUAGAAUACAGUAGAGGGUAGUGGAAUUUCAGGUGUAGCGGUGAAAUGCGUAGAGAUCUGAAGGAACAUCAGUGGCGAAGGCGACUACCUGGACUGAUAUUGACGCUGAGGUGCGAAAGCGUGGGGAGCAAACAGGAUUAGAAACCCCUGUAGUCC
rnacentral:rRNA from 1 species